CAGAUAUGGAGUUUUCACCCUUGUGAAGCCUCUAGUAAACAGAAGCACCCUCUCAACUAGCUCAUCCUCUUCUCAAGAGGGCAGAUCUGAACCUGAGCUCUUCAUCUCAUGUAAUCUUCACAACAGCCCUCAAAGGUAGGUACAAUUCUUAAUUCUGUUUUACAAAUGAAGGAAUUGGAGUUCAGCGAAGCUAUUCUAUGUGCAAGAUUACAGAUAGUAACUAUUGACAUUUCUGCAUACUUUUACCACUAUUCUACAAUUUGUUAGGCAUUUAGUUCAUCAAUUUUAUCAGUAAAUGGUUAAGUAUCUCCUAUCUUUCAGACCCUGUGAGAUUUCCUAUUUUCAUGUACAAAGAGCUAGAAUUGUCAUUGGGGAGAAGGGGGAAUGUUACAUGAUAAUUAAAUGAAAUUGUUGGUUAAGACUCAAAAAGCAGAGAAAAUGCUAAAGAGAUUUAGAGGAGGGAGUCCCACUGGAGCAAUCAGGAAAAACUUUAAACCCACAUCUGAAUCGUAAACUAGACUCAAGAGGAAGGAUUUGGAAAGACAAACAGAAGCAUAGAGACUUCUAGGAGGAGGAUUAGAGGAAAGGAAUGUACCUGCUUGCAAGGCGGUUUGGGGGGAAUUUUGGAGCUGGAUAAGCAUCUCCUCUGUUGGAAAGGGUCCUGUACACAGUGCCAGGAUAGCAGGAAUUUACAGACUCCAUCGUUAGUCUUGAUCUUGGUUUUCUCAUUUGCCACAGGAGGACUUUAGCUACAUGACAUGUACGGUUCCUUUUGACUCCAAAACUUACUAUCUCCAAAACCAAUAUUGCAGUCAGAGUACAGAACAUUCUGACUUGAAAAGAAUUUGUUUGCUUUGAACAAGCUAUUAUUACAACUGGCUUAUUCCUUGCUAAGGUGCAAUGUUUGGAAUGACUCUUAAUAGUCACCAUAGACUACUUCCAUUUUACUGAGCCUACUUUGUGAUACUGAGCUGUUCAUUGGGAAAGAAGCAUUUAGCAUAAUGGGUGAUAGAGAAUAGAAGUAGACCAAAUGUCCUCAAGAAGGUUUUAAUGUACCUAGUGACUGGGGGCCAAAUUCAGGUGAUGGAUUAUAUCUUUGCGCAAGCUGGUUUUCUUAAAAUGCUGCAAAACCAAAACAAACAUUUAAAAACUGGGAAAUUUCUAAUUUAAAACAAAAACCAAAAAUUGAACAAAACUAACCUUCUGUUUCUCUGGCUGAAAAGCAGUCAUUGAGAAGGGUUGGGAGAACCUUUCAUUGGCACUUAUUUCAUGGGUGGGAGUUUCUACCAGAGGGAUAAAAAAAUGAUUGCCAUGAAUUCAGUGAUUGAUGUGUUGAAGAAAUGUACCCCCAGAUCUGAGCCAGCCCUGUUGUCAAAUUCAUUUCUUUGACUAUAAACUUCACAACAAGGAUACGGAAAAAAAAUCAAAUAAAUAGUGAGUAACCCCUAGGGGUAGAUACUAACUUUAGUAUAGUGCUUAUUUUUUUCAUCCAGAAAUUUGGAUCAUUUAUAUAAAAGUAAAAAACAUCAUUUAUUUUGACCCACAUUUUUAUACAUAAUCUUUCCUCUGUGCUCUUGUAAAAUUACAUUUUUAUUCUGAUAUCCACGGUCUUUACGAGGCUCAAUUGCCUAGUUUAUUUCUCUUAACUUAAAUGCCAACCCAAGGAAAAUCCAAGCAAGAAGCUCUAGGCAAUUGGGCGCAGGGGCUCAUGCCUGUAAUCCCAGUGACUCGAGAGGCGAACACAGGAGAAUUACAAGUUAAAGGCCAGUCUCAAAAUUUAGUGAGAUCCUCAGUAAUUUAAUGAAAUCCAAAUUAAAGAAAUAAAAUAAACUGGGAUGUAGCUUAGUGGUAAAGCUCCCCCGAGUUUAUUCCCCAGGAAAAAGAAAAAUAAAAGAUAGAAGGGAAGUUGUAGGUGCCAGACACCUGAAAAUUUCUGUUUCUUGGGUUUGACCAAUUAAACCAAACUGUGCUCUCAGGCUGCCAUAGAAAGUGACACAUUUAAUAGCCUGGUGAACAAACAGUGGCAUUACCGUCACACUUGAGUUACAGUCUGUUUAAUCUACAAAUCAGCUGCAAUUUAUAGUUUCUUUUCCAGAGAAAGGGAAACCUUCAGGGUAUCAUAGAGGAGAUAACUGCUACUGCAAAGAGGAGGUCCCUAGACUUGUUGGGGUGAAGGGAGAGUGACAGAGGCAUGACAUGAUUGCCGUGUGUCCAUUUAAGGAGAAACAUUUCAGUCUAAGUCUACUCUUCCGGAACGUAUUAGAUAUACAAGCAAUUGUUUACAGAGAAAGAAAGAAAAAAUAUCCAUCAUUUGAUGUUGAUCUCUAGGGAAUCAAAUAUGUAUUGCAAGUCUGAAGUAUUACUCCUAUUCUUCCCUGUUCUAGUUACAAAUAUAGCUGAAAACUAGUUCUGAACCUUCCCUCCACCCAUAAUGGGAAGCUGGGAUCAUAUUCUUGGAAGAAGAAAUUAAAAUAAAAUGAAAAUAUUAAAUAAACUUAACCAAGUUGUUUUUAAGCCCUUAGGUCAAAGUCUUUCUAUUAGGAUAAUCAGCAUUGCUGCCAUCCUGCUACCACAGUUCUGGAUGGUGAAUAGGUGAAUACAUUUGAUCUGCAGUACAUGAUUUUCCUUGUGUUUCCAGACUUUUUAGACACUUGCUAGAGUAUGUAUAGUAUUUUUUAAAUAUUUUUUCCAGAUUAACAACCUUGUUUUAACUUAGAAAUACCUAAAAGAUCAAGAUUAAAUAAAAAUACAUUGAGCAGAGUAUUUUAAAGCAUAACUAGCAUGCUAUUUAAUAAUCAGUUUGUCCCAUGUUUCCUGGUAUUUGGAUUUACAGACUAGUUAAUCUCUCUUUGUGGGUCUCCUGUGGGAGCAAGAAGCAAUAGAGCUGACUUUAAUUAGGGGAAUGACCAAAGAUAGAUUUUUUUUCAUGUUUUAAAGUUUUAGAAUUUAAAAUGUUUAAAUGUUUUAGAAUUCAAAGUUUAAUGAAAAUAAAUUAAUUGAAUAGGUUUAUAUAAUGGGAUUAGUAUAUAGCCAUGAAAUGGAAUAAGUCAUGAAAUGGAACAAAUCUACUUGUAACGAUACAGAAAAAUUAACCAAAUAAUGAGAAAUCAAGUUGUAUAAAUAUUCAAUUUGUAUAAUCAGACAAAAAUAGAUAUAUGAAUAAGUCUUAACAUAUAUACUAAAAUACUGCAGGUUGAACCAUAAAUAGAAAAAAACAGGAGGGAUACAUAAGCUAUAGGAUAGCUAUAUAAACAUUUUUACAAUACAUUUCCAUAUAAUUUGUUGUCUCAUAUUGUUCAUAUUAUUUUUCCUUUCUAACUUUAUUUUUAAAUUGCAUGUCAAUUUAUUUUUGUUGGAUACUUCCAUGACACUUGACACAUGAAAAACCUCAUAAAACCAUCACUAUAAAAAUUAAAAGUAGCUAACCCAAACUUAUUUUUUUUAUAAUGAAAACAAAAAUACAGUAUAGCAAACCCAGGUGAAGUGCAAGGAUUCUUGAAGUCUCUGCACACUGUCAUCUCCAGAAGGAAAAAAAACAAAAAAACUUUCCACUGAGACUCUUCAGGAAGCUCCAUCGGAAUCAGCUGCUCCAGUACUGCAGCUCCAAGGCCUGGAAAUGGCUCUCCCGACAGCUCUGUAUGCCAGACAGAGGACUGUGCAGGCACGUGGCUUGGAUAACUAAUUCACCAAUCAUAAAUAUACUCUUCCGACAGUACAGAUGUCUAGAAUGUUAACUUGCAGCUGAAAUUUGAUCAUGGGAAGGGACUGAUGAGUCAUCAUGGGCCAGGGACCCAUGGCCUCUGGUGGGGGCAAGGCCCUGCUGGAGCAGUAACAUGAUUUUUGGGUUAUUUGCAACAAUUAAAAUUGAAAACAUGAUCAAAGUAGUUAUCAAAAUUACUAGGGAGGUGUGGAACUUCUCAGAUUCCGAAAAUAGCAACAAAAAUGAAAAAGUAUGUGUAAAAGAAGAAGAAAGAAGACCUCUGGAGUCUGUCUGCUGUGUUUCUCCCUGGGGAAGAGUCAAUGAUGUUUGGAAAUAGGUUUGGUCUUUCUAAUGAGCUACCAGUAUCUUCCUGGUGGCCUAUUUCUGCAUUUUUUCUUCAAUACACAUAUCUAUAAGACAUUCGCUAAUUGUCAGGAGACCUACCAGAUAUAGGGCAGAGGGCAGCCACAGCAUUCAUUUACUGUUACCUCUUUACUUUUGAAAGGGCACUGCAGGUCACAGACUGUGCACAUUCUGGGGCUGGUAUCACAAGCAUCAAGGAUCUAAAAUCCCAGAGACUCAUGUGAAUUUGCUCUGCCACCAUCUGUGAGCUGGCUAGCAGGAAGAGUUUCCUGAUGCAAGAAGCAUGCCAAGGCUCUAGUAGGAGAAAGCCAAAGGGAAUGUUCCUCACUGUUUCUUUUUCCUCAGAGGUAAUUUCGUUUAUUACCAGUAAAAAGCCUAUUCCAUCCCCAACUGAGGAUAAUUCCUACCUACAGACGUAAACAAAUAUUUUGGGGAUGAAGCAAAUGACUUCCUUAUACAGAGACUUUUAAAUUUCAUUUUACUAGGAGUAACUGUUUAUUUGGCUCUUCUCCUUUACUUCCUGCCAGAUAUCUGUUUUCUGCCAGGAGUUUUGAUGGCCUGCUCUGGAAUGGAAUUAGUGUCCAUAAGGCUUCUGUCUGAUUGAGGUCUCACAUUGUCUGCUGAGUCUCUGGGCAUCCACCCCAUCACCAACCCUGGCUCUGAUGUAACCUUGAGCACCUGUGUGAUCCUGUAAGCCCUGGUCCUGGGUCCCUUCUUUUGCCACUCUGGACAUAUGUGCACACACUAGUAGAAUCUUUAUCAUACCAACUUAAGUUUUGGCUGCUGGUCUGCUGGCUUUGGAGAGAUCUUGAUUUCUCCUGUGUGAUCAUUUUAACUAAUGAGGGAGUAUCAAUCUCAUCUUUUUUCUUUCCUGUUGAAGAACCUGUAUGCAGAAUGGGAUUCUGCUUCUCAGUUCCUGCAUGCUUUGUGGAACACAGGGUGCUUAAGACACUCUGUUAAUAUACAUAGUCAGGAGCCCCCACAUGUCCAUCUUGCAUUUUGUGCAAAGUCAUGUAUCUCUAUUUCUGCUACAUAGGCUUCAGUGGAGCUGCCACAGGUAUGUGCUCUACUUACCUGGUCACUGACAAAUUCUAGUUGCAGAAUUUGAGUAUCCCAUAAUGAUUGAGGGAGAAGGUUGCUCUCUUAAUGAUGGCCCAACAGAAGAAGAUACCAUUAUCUUCAAAUGACCUAUUGUUUUAGCUGGUUUACUUGAACUUUUGAAUUUGACAAAUGAGAAAAAUAAGGAGAAUUUUGGGAUGGUUCCCUUACCUGCCACAAUCAUGAUCCUCAUACUUUUCCAUUAAUUCUCCACAAAAGAAUCCACUGAUAUUUCUAUAUCAUCUAUAUAGGAACAAAAACUGAAGACUCAAAUGGAUUUGAAUUUUCUGGGAUUUGAAAAAUAUAUUAAAAUGAAAAGAAAAAAAUAUUUUAUGUCGAUGGUGUUUUAUGUUAAUUGUAUUUACUACAAUUAACUACCAAAAGCUCAUAUUUAACAAAAAGGGAUCCUCAAUACUAAAGUAUAGAAGACUUGUAUAAAUAGGAACCAAGAUAGGGUGAGUCAUCAUUUAUAUAGGGCACAUGAGGUCCACGAUUAACACAGCUAGUAACAUUAUCCAUACAUGUUCCUCUUGUGCCACCAGCAGUGACCUGGAGAUGGCAGCAUGAAGGUCCUAGGGAAGCAAUCAACCUGUGCUGAGGAAAGCAUAAUUUAUUCAUCAGAACUCACAUCACAGAGGAAUCUUGGUUCUUAGUUUCUGGGAGCUAUUCUGGGGAAAACCUCCAGUGUCACUUUUUUUUUUCUUUUAAAAACCAACCAUGUGCCCUGCUUGUCUUUGUAACCAUUUUAGCUCCCCAAACAAAAAAUAAGCUAUUUCUGAGGAAAGAUGCUCCCCAGCCAGAUCAGUUCAUUCAGAAGCCAGAGAUUCACUUUCUGGAUGCCAGUAAGUGAAGGGAUCCCAGUAUCAUAAGACCUGUGUAAGAUGACUUCUGACUUUACUACUUCUAUCUCAAAGAUUCCCAAGUUACAAAGUUGAGACUUUAUAUUAAUAACAGUACUGUGAUAAUGUGGUUGUGUGAGUAUUCCCGUUAGCACACGAGGAAACUGAGGCUCAGAGAUAUUAAAUCACUGAAUCCUAAAUCAUACAGAAGCUUAGAAACCAAACCAGUGUCAACUUCCAUAUCAAUGUUCCAUGCUCCUGUUUUCAAGAAAAAUGUUUCAUGUACAAAGCUAGAAAAUCCAUAAAAUAAAUCCAAGAAAGAUUAAGGAAGACAGCUGUGACCCAGUACAGAUGGGAAGGAAUGGCAGCAGCUUCCACUGAUCCCUCUAACUCCACACCUCCUUUUUCUCUCCAGGAUCUCUGAUGUCAUCUAAGACCAUAACAUCCCAGGAAAAAGACACUCCUGAGACCACACUCCAAUUCUAGGGCACUGGUCCCUGGGAGAUCCUCUCAUUUCAGUCUCUCCAUGCAAAAUCUCUCCUUAGCCUGGCAAGAUCUAAGGAGGCUAGUACAGGGAAGGAAAGGACCUUCUCAAGUGACUAUAGUAUGGAUUGCACAGGAGAAACUAUCAGCUACUGGAUCAGCUUCUGCACUAAGCCAUGUGCACCCUGAAGUCACAUGUUCAACAUCCCUGCCAAAGAUCCACAAAUCCACAGCUGAAUAUCUGGGAGUGAAUUUCUCAACAUUUUCUUCUUCCACGUCCAGCUCCUCUUUCUCCUUCUGCCAAUUCUCUUCCUUUUUAUUUCCCUUUUUUCUUCCUUUAUUCUUCCUGGAAAUUUAUCUUCUGCUCCUGAAGUACUUGUGUUUCAAAGUCUUUUGCCCUGCCACACAGAUUAUUAGAGGGAAAACAAAACAAGUAAAACAUCAUGAGACAGAUUUCCUAGAUCUUCUACAAGGGACUCAGUAAAGAGAGAGCUAUGUUUGGAUAUGAUUCAACAGUAUAUUAAAGUAUUCCGGAGAUUUUUGCUCUGGGAAAUCUAAUUGGAGGAGAAGGAAAUCAAACCAACAAAUAUGCUUUGAGUACCUUAUUGCCAGGUCCUCUGCUGAGUGUUUUACUCCUGUUGAUGCAUGCCUUCCUCACAAAAAGCCUAUGAGGUAGGUCUGAUUAUUAUGAUUGUUAUUACACAAAGGGUACAUGGUAUGCUUAGCCCAUGUCUUUGUCCAAGAUUGUGUAGCACAAAGCAGCUCUGGACGUCAACUCAAGCAUUUUCACUCAGG
rnacentral:lncRNA from 1 species